rnacentral:lncRNA from 1 species
UUUAAAGUCCUAAAUCAAAAAGGGGGGCCAGGGGAACAGGUUCUCGCUACCUCAAAAAAAGCUUAAAUGAAAAUUCAAAAUAGCCACGUCAAAAUGAGAUAAAUCCAAAUAAUUGAUUAGACUUCAUAAUUUCAUGAGUUUGUCAUGUAAUUAUGAUGUCUUCAAUGGCACGUUAAUUUUACUAGUGAUGAAUCUCUCAUGUAAAUUAUUCAUCCAACGUUAGAUUCCACUCUCUAAGCC